rnacentral:rRNA from 1 species
GAUGAACGCUGGCGGCGUGCCUAAUACAUGCAAGUCGAGCGAACGGACGAGACGCUUGCUUCUCUGAUGUUAGCGGCGGACGGGUGAGUAACACGUGGAUAACCUACCUAUAAGACUGGGAUAACUUCGGGAAACCGGAGCUAAUACCGGAUAAUAUUUUGAACCGCAUGGUUCAAUAGUGAAAGACGGUCUUGCUGUCACUUAUAGAUGGAUCCGCGCUGCAUUAGCUAGUUGGUAAGGUAACGGCUUACCAAGGCAACGAUGCAUAGCCGACCUGAGAGGGGGAUCGGCCACACUGGAACGUAGACACGGACCAGACUCCUACGGGAGGCAGCAGUAGGGAAUCUUCCGCAAUGGGCGAAAGCCUGACGGAGCAACGCCGCGUGAGUGAUGAAGGUCUUCGGAUCGUAAAACUCUGUUAUUAGGGAAGAACAGAUGUGUAAGUAACUGUGCACAUCGUGACGGUACCGAAUCAGAAAGCCCCGGCUAACUACGUG